CAAGUCGAGUGCGCGCCUGUAGCAAUACAGGUGGCGCACGGCGCACGGGUGCGUAACACGUGGGUAAUCUGCCCUUCGAUGGGGAAUAACUCGCCGAAAGGCGAGCUAAUUCCGCAUAACAUUCCGAGAACUUUGGUUUUUGGAUUCAAAGGCGUAAGUCGUCGGAGGAGGAGCCCGCGCACGAUUAGCUAGUUGGUGAGGUAAUGGCUCACCAAGGCUAUGAUCGUUAGCUGGUCUGAGAGGAUGGCCAGCCACACUGGAACUGAGACACGGUCCAGACUCCUACGGGAGGCAGCAGUGGGGAAUCUUGCACAAUGGGCGAAAGCCUGAUGCAGCGACGCCGCGUGGGGGAUGAAGCUUUUCGGAGUGUAAACCCCUUUCGACCCGGACGAAUGCCCCGCAAGGGGACUGACGGUACGGGUAUAAGAAGCCCCGGCUAACUACGUGCCAGCAGCCGCGGUAAGACGUAGGGGGCCAGCGUUGCUCGGAAUUACUGGGUGUAAAGGGUUCGUAGGCGGUGUGGCAAGUCGGGAGUGAAAUCUCUGGGCUCAACCCAGAGUCUGCUUCCGAAACUGCUGUGCUUGAGUGUGGGAGAGGCGCGUGGAAUUGCAGGUGUAGCGGUGAAAUGCGUAGAUAUCUGCAGGAACACCCGUGGCGAAAGCGGCGCGCUGGACCACUACUGACGCUGAGGAACGAAAGCUAGGGGAGCAAACAGGAUUAGAUACCCUGGUAGUCCUAGCCCUAAACGAUCAGGACUUGGGGUGCCGCCCGUUCGGGCGUCGUCCCGGAGCUAACGCGUUAAGUCCUGCACCUGGGGGAGUACGGUCGCAAGACUGAAACUCAAAGGAAUUGACGGGGGCCC
rnacentral:rRNA from 1 species